AUAAGGAAGGAUGUGGAAAUAUGAAAAUGAAGAGAUGAGAAGGUGAAGCAGACACGGUUCUUAUGUGGCCAUGGAUGAGUUAGAGCCUUCCUCUGAAGACUGACAGCUUCUACCUGUGUGGCUUUUCCUUUGGUCACACAUGGCCUCCUAUGCAAGGACCUCACAGCAAGGUCUCUCCAUCCCUGUCAUUCAGGUUUUUAAAGGAGCCAAGUGCACGGCGAUUCCAGAUUCACAAUUUGCUUCUCCAGAGCAGACAACUCCCUCUACCUUCCCCCAGCAGUGAGCCAGUCAGCUCCUGCGGACCCAAUGCAGCUUCCUUCACAGCACCAACAAGACCUGCAAGGGGAAGCUGUCUGGGAUGAUCACUAGAGACACAGCACAUUCACCUGAGAUGCCACAUGCCAGUAGACUGAAAAAUGGCUCCUCUGCUAAGCACAUCAGUCAAAUGUGCUUUUCCACCCA